rnacentral:lncRNA from 1 species
GUUUAAUACUUAGUUUAAAUACAACUUAGUUUAACAAAUAUAAGUUUUAUUUUACUUCCCAUGUUUUAUAAUCUAAAUUGCCAUUGGACUUUUUUUUUUUUUUUUUUUUUUUGAGACAGAGUCUCGCUCUGUCCCCCAGGCUGGAGUGCAGUGGCGUGAUCUCUGUUCACUGCAAGCUCCGCCUGCUGGGUUCACUCCAUUCUCCUGCCUCAGCCUCCCAAAUAGCUGUGACUACAGGUGCCUGUCACCGUGCCUGGCUCAUUUUUUUGUGUUUUUAGUAGAGAUGGGGUUUCACCGUGUUAGCCAGGAUGGUCUCAAUCUCCUGACCUUGUGAUCCACAUGCCUCAGCCUCCCAAAGUGCUGGGUUUACAGGCAUGAGACACUGCGCCCAGCCUAUGGCAAUAUUUUUAAUGGCAGCUUCACAUUCUGGAUAUCUUUAUGUUGGGGAAAAAGUUUCAAAGGUAACUGCUCUUCUGUAGCUAAGCUUUUUUAGAGCAGAGGAUGGAGCAAAUUCUGAGUUACUGAAAUUACAUAUUUAGCGCUAUUGCCUUGUUUAGCUUUAACUUCUAUUUCAUCUUUAUAGUUGUCUUUUCAGACGUUUUCAGAAGAGAUGAGAGAAAUGCUUUGGGAAUUGAUUUGGAAAUCUUUUUGCUGUCAUUACUUUUAAUAGCUAGAUAUAUGUUUUAAUUGUAAAAAAUUCUGGAAAUACUUUUUUCUCUACCUGCCCCCAUUUUUUUUUGUUUUUUUUCUGAGACAAGCCUGGGUGACAGAGCAAGACUCUGUCUUAAACAAACAAAUAAACACAACCUGGCACCUCUUUCUUCUCUCUCUCUUGUUCUCUCACCAUGUAACAUGCUGGCUCCUUUCCUCUUGCCAUGAUUGUAAACUUCCUGAGGCCCUCACCAGAAGCAGAUACCAGCAUUAUACUCCUUGUACACUCUACGGAACUGUGAGCCAAAAUAAAACUCUUUUCUUUAU